rnacentral:lncRNA from 1 species
AAGAAAAAGGGUCUUUUGGAUCAUAGGUAUUAGCCUUGUAAUGAUAAUUAAGUUGUUUGCCUUCAUCAGUAGUCUUAUAAUUAUAAUUGGUUUGUUUGGCUUCAUCGGUAGUCUUGUAGAUGUAAUUGAGCUGCUUGACUUCAUCGAUGGUCUUGUAGUUGUAAUUGGGGUGUUUGGUUUCAUCGGUGGUCUUGUAGUUGUAACUGGGAUGUUUGACUUCAUCGGUGGUCUCGUAGUUGUAGUUGGGUUGUUUGACUUCAUCGGUGGUCUUGUAGUUGUAGUUUGGUUGUUUGGCAUCAUCAAUGGUCUUGUAGUUGUAGCUGGGUUGUUUGGCUUCAUCGGUGGUCUUGUAGUUGUAGCUGAGUUGUUUGGCUUCAUCGGAUGGUCUUGUAGUUGUAGUUUGGUUGUUUGGCAUCAUCAAUGGUCUUGUAGUUGUAGCUGGGUUGUUUGGCUUCAUCGGUGGUCUUGUAGUUGUAGCUGAGUUGUUUGGCUUCAUCGGUGGUCUUGUAGUUGUAGCUGGGUUGUUUGGCUUCAUUGGUGGUCUUGUAGUUGUAGCUGGGUUGUUUGGCUUCACUGGUGGUCUUGUAGUGGUAGUUGGGGUGUUUGGCUUCGUUGAUGCUCUUGUAGUUGUAGCUGGGGUGUUUGGCUUCACUGGUGGUCUUAUAGGUCUUGUAAAUGUAACUGGGAUGUUUGGCCUCAUCGUUGGUCUUGUAGAUGUAACUGGGUUGUUUGGCCUUAUCGGUGAUCUUAUAGAUGUAACUGGGUUGUUUGUCCUCAUCAGUGGUCUUGUAGAUGUAACUAGGCUGUUUGGCCUCAUAUGAGGUCUUGUAGAUGUAAAUGGGUUGUUUGGACUGAUCGACGGUUUUGUAGAUGUAAUUGGGUUGUUUGGCGUCAUCGACGGUCUUGUAGAUGUAAUUAGGCUGUUUGGCUUCAUCGGUAGUCUUAUAGUAGUAAUUUGACUGUUUGGCUUCACCGACGGUCUUGUAGAUGUAACUGGGUUGUUUGGCCUCAUCGACAGUCUUAUGGUUGUAAUUGGACUGUUUGGUUUCAUCGACAGUCUUGUAGUUGUAAUUGAGUUGUUUGGUUUCAUCGGUGGUCUUGUAGAUGUAAUUGGGUUGUUUGGUCUUAUCAGUGGUCUUAUAGAUGUAACUGGGUUGUUUGACCUCAUCAGCAGUCUUGUAUAUGUAACUGGGUUGUUUAGCCUCAUCGAUGGUGUUGUAGGUGUAACUUGGUUGUUCUGUCUCGUUGGCGGUCUUGUAGAUGUAAUUGGGUUGUUUGGCCUCAUCGGCGGUCUUGUAGAUGUAACUGGGUUGUUUGGCCUCAUCAGCGGUCUUGUAGAUGUAACUGGGUUGUUUGGGCUCAUCGAUGGUCUUGUAGGUGUAACUUGGUUGUUCUAUCUCGUUAGCGGUCUUGUAGAUGUAACUGGGUUGUUUGGCCUCAUCGGNNN